CCCGUCGCGGAUUGGCGACCAACCCUGACUGUAAAUCAGGCGCUUCGGCUCUGCAGGUUCAACUCCUGACGGCGGGAC
rnacentral:tRNA from 2 species